GGAGGGGUAGUGAAGUGGCCAAACACAUCUGACUGUAACUCAGCUCCUUCGGGUUCGGGGUUCGAAUCCCUCCCCCUCCACCA
rnacentral:tRNA from 1 species